rnacentral:rRNA from 1 species
GAUGAACGCUGGCGGCGUGCCUAAUACAUGCAAGUCGAGCGAACAGACGAGGAGCUUGCUCCUCUGACGUUAGCGGCGGACGGGUGAGUAACACGUGGAUAACCUACCUAUAAGACUGGGAUAACUUCGGGAAACCGGAGCUAAUACCGGAUAAUAUAUUGAACCGCAUGGUUCAAUAGUGAAAGACGGUUUUGCUGUCACUUAUAGAUGGAUCCGCGCCGCAUUAGCUAGUUGGUAAGGUAACGGCUUACCAAGGCAACGAUGCGUAGCCGACCUGAGAGGGUGAUUGGCCACACCGGAACUUAGAAAAGGUCCAGACUCCUAAGGGAGGCAGGAGUAGGGAAUCUUCCGCAAUGGGCGAAAGCCUGACGGAGCAACGCCGCGUGAGUGAUGAAGGUCUUCGGAUCGUAAAACUCUGUUAUUAGGGAAGAACAAAUGUGUAAGUAACUAUGCACGUCUUGACGGUACCUAAUCAGAAAGCCACGGCUAACUACGUG